AGAAUUAAACCUAAAUUAUAUAUUACGUAAAAUCAAUUAAAAAGGUACAAAUGUAUGAGGACCCCCUCUACUACAUGCAAUUUUGAAACAAAUACCCGGACUUUAUUUCUUUCUAUUAUUGAGUUUUCACAGAUCGACUUUUAACCAUAGUUAGUUAAUUCGCGAAUUAUUCGCGAAUUAUUGAAAAUCUGAAUAAAACGGUUCAUAUGCGAUUUAUUCCCAAAAAUUCGGAAUAAAAUGCGAAUUUUUUGCUUAAAUUUAUUAUUCGCGAAUAAUUCGCAUAUGCCGAACUAUUCGGCCAAAAUAAUGCGCAAAGUUUUUUGGAUAACAUGAAUUAUUGAAAAACUUUAUAAACUUUCAAAAUAUGUGGAUCAUAAAAAAAAUGGAAAUGGAAAUGACGAUAAAAUUUACUAUUAAUUGCUUUUUUACUUGAUCUACUUUAUUUUGUAAAUCUCUAUUUUUAUAUUCUUAAGAAUUUAUAAUUAUAUAUGCUAGUAGCAUAAAUUAGAGAAAAAAGCUUAGUUUAAUAGCCAAAUUUUUUAUCCCGAAUUUUUAAUUGGUGAAUAUAUAAUUUUCGUAUAGUAAUUGGCGAAUCCGUUUUUUAAACCGUAUUUUUCAAUGAAUUUAAAAAUUGAGAUACGAAUUUUGUUCGAAUUAUAUCCGUAUCGAAUUUUUACCGAAUCUGAAUUAACUAACUAUGCUUUCAACUAGGGACUUUUCAACUAACAAGUAGAACAACUUAAAUUAAAGCAGAGUUUUAGUGGUCUAGUUCGAAACGACCUAUCUCCGUACACUUUUACAAUUCAGAUAGCAUGUUUUGCCGAUGACUUUUUGAAAAGGACGUGAAUGCUAAAUUAAAAAAAUUGGGGAGCUAAGUGAAAUGAUUGAUGAAAAUGCCACAAAUAUUAGAAAAAUAUAUACAAAGCCAAAGAGUGCAAGCUACAGUGAUGUUAACAACCCAACCAUAUAUUAUGCGUACUCAUGAAACCUAAUUAAUACCNAUCUCUGGAGAGUGUCGGACUGAGUCGGAGUCAAUUCUGCACGAAUUGGAUGCAGAAUUGGACUCAACGCACUCAAUUAAGCAAAACUGAAGUUUUGCCAGUUUCGGGUGCCCAGAACAUUUUUAGGGUCGCCUAGAAACGAGUGUUGAAUUUAACUGAAACUGGAAGCCAAUUCGGAUCCCAUGUUCCGGGCGCCCAGAUGUGGGUCUGGAAAUUUGACAUCGUGAAUAUCGCUUGCUUCGACGCGUGGCAGGCGGUAGGUGAGUUCCGUCAGAGCUGUUUACGGGCGCAGCACACCGCGGGCGGAGAGUUCGAGGAGCCCGUUUUUGUGCAGGUCGGAUGUUCUGGUCGCCCAGAACAUGGUUCCGGGCGCCCGGAAAUGCCCGUUUCUGCAGGGACACUGGAUUGCAGCUGUUUCUCUUGGGGCUUAUCUUAUCUCUCCAGCAGCCUAUAAAUACCUGGUAUACGUCCCCAUUCAGCUCUUUUACCUGUUUUUCACAGAGAACUUAGAAUUUUCAUCCCUAAUCCCUUCAAUCUUUCCAAAUUGCAUCAAUAUCCACCUCUCCAAGAAUUGCAAGGUGCUGAUUCUGUAGUUCUUCAGCGACGACCUCCAGUGUUUUGGCUCGUGCGCGACGUAGGAAGGUCGAAUUUCGACGAAAUUUGGUUUGCUGGAUUCUAGACUUCCAGAGGAAUCUAUGAAGCCCUGAAUUGCAGAUUUUGGUUGAGGUUAGCUUGGUCGAACUGAGGUUUUCCUCUACUGCUGUUGCUUUGGACAGAAUUUGCCAAUUUUUGAGUUUUCUUAGGGUGAACAUGGGAAGCAGGGGCUUUGUGAAGCUGAGUCACUUUCCCUAUCAACCAGUACUAGAUUUGGAACCCUCUCCACCUGAAUUGGAGAUCAUUAGGUGAGUUUUGACAUUGGAAUUGGAUAAAUCCAAGCUUAAGGCUGAAAUUGAUGAUUUUUAUUGGAUUUUUGGGUGAAUUGUAAAUCCAGAUCUUGAGGGGCUUUGUUGCUGGUUUGGAGGUGUUUUCAGCAGUGUUGCUUGAGAUCCGAGACCCUCUUGCUGCCAGGAAUUGCACUAGAGGUGGGUGUAUCAUCGGUUUCGCUCCUAAGUGCAUGUUUAGUUGACGUGUAUAGUUCGAUUUUGUAUGUCAUGCUUUAAUUCAUAGAUUAGCAUUUUGGAUAUAAUAUGAAUCUAAAAGCAUGCUGAAAUGAAUGUUUAUAUUAUACAUGUUGGACCUGAAAUUCGACUUAGGAGAAAACCUGCGUUUUAACCCGCCAUAUGCUUAAACUACCAGAUUUAGCUCUAGGAGCCGAGAUUCGAUUGUAUCAUUGCAGUAUCAGUGCGAUGGAUACCUUGGGUAGUUUAGAAGGCAUUUACGCUCGUGCUGGGAUGCCGAGCUUAUUUUUAGCAGAGUCUAGACUGUUUCGGGUCAUUGGGUGCCGUUCGGGAUANAAAAAAGAAAAAAAAAAAGUAAACUUCAAAUGCCAUCAUAUAGUUUCAUACUUUCUCACUUUAGUACAUGUAGUUUAAAUUGUAUCAAGUUAGUGUUCUGUGGUUUUAUUUUUCUCUUUUCGUCAGCUUCUCCGUUAAUAUUUUAUUAAAUUAUAUACAAAAAAUUUCAGAUAUCCUACCUAGAUAUAUUUAUUGAAUAUUCACUUUCUUCCCCUUUAGUUUUAACUUUGUCACUGAUUUAACAGAAAAAAAUAGUGGAAUCGAUAAUAAAAAGAUAAAAAUGAAACCACAUGACACUAAAUUGAUAGACUUUAAAUCUCAGGAUACUAAACUGAGAAAGUGUGAAACGACAUGAGAGUUUUUCCAAAAAAAAGUACAUGAAACACCACACUGACUCCAAUAGUAAACACCAUGAGAAGAAUACAGUAUAAAUACUAUUAAUAAGAUAUAAUAUUAUUAUUUGUGACAAUAUAUAUAUUUAUUUGAGUAUGACUGGUACACUAUCAUUAGCACGGAGGCCUUCGUAGUAGCAAAUUAUUUUCACUGAUACAGCUUCCAAAUCGACGAUCGGCUCUGUUGAACUUAAUCUAUACUAUUGAAAGUAUUUGCAAACUAAAUUUUAUAAUUUUUCAACAUCAUCUACCUAUUCAAACGAGUAGUCUAAAUAUAAAAAUUUUAUAAAAAAUGAUGAUAAAAAGGUUUAAAAUUAAGAUAAGAGAUACUAACCUUACUCUAAAUAGUGAAAAGAAUUUUCUAUAAAACUUUCAUCUUAUUUUACAUCGUUAAAUUCAAAAGCACAUCACAUCGAUCAUUAAAAUUGUCAAUUUUGAAAUCUUUUGCUCACUAGCCGAAUAAUGUCGAAAAAUUAUGAAAUUUAGUUUUCAAAUACUUUCAGCAGUAUAGAUCAAGUUAAAUGAAAUCGACCGUCGAUUUGUAAGUUGCAUUAUUGAAAAUAACUAGGUAGCAUGGAGGCCUCUAUGCUACCAGUAGUAUAGCAGCCUAACUCAUUAGAGUCCGGCUGCUAUAUUAUAGGUAGUAAAGAGGCCUCCGUGCUACUAAUAGAAAUGAAAAUAAUAAUUUUGACAAAAUAUUGUUAUAUUUCUCAUAGGAAUAAAAAUAACAAAAAUUUUAUUAAUAGUUCAUACAUUUUUUUAAAAAAAUUCACUAUACAAAAUUUAUUUAUAUUUUUUAAAAACAAUUAUAUGUAUUCAUAAAAGAGCCAAAAUAGUUAUCAUAUUACAUUAUAUUCAUAGAAAAAUAUAAAUUAAAAAAAUAUAUUUUUUAAUGGAAUGCAUAAUGGACUCACGUAGAACCUGCGUCCAUGGCAUAUCCGCAUCAUACAUUGGUCCGAUAUGAACACACGAAAUUUAUAGAAAUGUCUAUGAUACAUAACUAUCUAAUAUUUUAAGUUAUUUAAUUUGAGUCAAUUGAUAAUUCUUUAACUUUCAAGUUUUAAUUGGUCGUUUAUUUAUGCAGGUUUAAGUAGUAUAUUUUUUACAAUUCUUGUAAUUGUCAGUUUAUUAAAGUAAACAAUUAACAUAAUUUUGUACUGAGAACACCACUGGACAACUUAAAUCAAAUAAAUUAAAAGUUUGAAUAUUUGAAUUAAAAUUUUUAAAGGUCAAAUUAAAAUGGUUCAUGAUUCACUUAAUAAGUUCUCUAUAACUUUAAUGAAAUUGAUAGAGGAAGAAAAUAUAUAACAAUGCAUGGAGACCCCUCAACUAUAGGCCAAUUUGACAUGGCCCAUCAUUUUUAUUUAAGUGACAUCGCUUUAACUUUUGAUUUUUUGAAUNAGGUUUCGGCUGCUGCGCCUUCCGCGGAUCAGGAUCGAGAUAAGGGCGUCCGACUGACAGAGCUAGAGGCACUCUACUGCAGGUAGUUGUUUUGAUAGAGUUCAUGUAUAUACCUACCUUUAACUCGCCAGUGCGAGUAGUUUUUGUAUCCUGAAUUUUGGUGUAUGUAUAUGGGAUUCGAUUUGGUAUUUCUUCUGUUUCUUCUAGCAGCUCUAUACUACUGUUUGUAGUAUUGUAUGAUUUACAGAUACAGUUAUCGCUUCGUAUACAAGGAAAAUUCCUUUGUAUGCGGUGGAUUUGUCGGCGGGCCCGAGGAACGUGUAAUCCGGGGCGUGACAUCACGGCUCCGCCCAGCGCCCGCAUCGCGCAGCGCCCGCGCCCGGCGCCGCGCCCACUCCUGCUCGCGGCUCCGCCCCCGCCAGCGCCAGCGCGCGCCCUCGCCCGCGCCUCGGCCUUCUCGCAACACGUAUGCAGUUAUUGAGGAAUAAUAUAUAGUUAUAAAUGAGUGUAUUUAGGUGAAUCUAUUUGCAUUAUAGAGUUUUGGAUCAGGUCCAAAUCCACAUAAGCCCAUGAAUGUGGCGUAUCUAAUGAAAUCUAUUCAAUCUAAAAGUUUAAACAUAUUAAAUUUGAAUCUACUGGUAUGUAUUAAUAUUUUACUCUCUUAUUUAUUAUCUGAUGCGGAACCAUUUGCAAAUGAAUUAUUUGCUGUCCCCGUUUCAAUCCAUCAUAUAUAGUUGACUUGAUAGUUGUUAGUACCUAAAAUCUCAAGUUCGAUGUCUACUUACUUACACAUGCAUUUCAAAUUUGUUUUGCUAGUUACCCGAAAGCCACUAACCCGAGCCUCCAUGCUUUAUGUGAUGCCGCAAUAGUCCCACAUCGGAUGAGAAUGAUUUUGUAGUUCAUGAAAAUAUAAGAUAACCAUAGACCCUAAUAACAAUAAUAGAGCUAGUCCCACAUCGGAUAAAAAUAAGUUUAUGAUUAAAAAUAUAAGAAACCAUUGAUCCUAACAAUAAAGAUUCAGCUAAGCUAUUUUGGGAUCAUUAUAUUUGGUGUAUCAUAGCCAGUUUAUUGGCCGGAAGUGUGAAAUGAGCUUAAUGAGGACGUCGGAGCGUAAACAAAGAGGUAUUGUGAAUACUAAUAAUAAUAACUAAGUUUAAAAAUUUUGGGCCAUUUAUUUAGGCCCACUAAAUUAUUAUUGUUGGUGGUUUGUGGGCGUCAUACUUUAACUUGUGCUACUCGGAAUCCAUUUGAACAUUUUGAUUUCUAAAUAGUUUAAAUGGUUUAGAUCAUAUUCAAUGAUACUGAUCAUUGAUUUGAAAGCUCUAUUAAUUAAAAACAAAUCGGUAAUAAAUCAAUCCGAUUACUAUUGAUAAUAUGUAUCUAAUAAAGCUCGUAAAUAUAUUAUAUCUGUGUGUAGUAGAUGACAAACUUUCGAAUUCAUUGUUAAGGCGCAAAUAAGAAAUGGGCCACACAUUUUUUAUAUUGGCCAAAUUCGAUAUUUAUAUCAAAAUCGGCCUGGCCCAAAUUUCAUCAUGAACACAUCCAUAGUCCAAGAUCACUCUGUUUAGGGCUUGACCUUCUCGUCAGCCCAAUCACACAUAGAGCUUACGAUCAUCAGGUGAUGUGAACUUAUCUUAUACUUCCGGCUAGUAAACAGGCUUCGAUGCCAAAAUAUAACGUUCCGACCCUCUAGUAAUAACAACUCGCUAGACCCAAACCGCAGGUGCAAGAUGUUUAAGUUUAAUUAGUUAUUAUUGUUAGGGAUCAUGGUUUCUUAUAUGCGCAAUCACAAUCUCAUUUCCAUCAGAUGUGGAGCAAUUGGUGUCACAAGCGUACAAAUUCUAAAUGCUGUAGAAUUGAGAUACAUCAUAGCCAUCAUUUACGUGCACUUAAUACAUGGGUGCAUAGAAGAGCAUGGCUGUAAUAUCCUUGGUUGAGUUGGUGGGGGGUAUAAUUAUAUAUAUAUAUAUAUAUAUAUAUUUUAUGGUUAUCCACCCACCUACUCAACCAAUAUAUAUAUCCAUCUGAGACUUUAGAAAGAAUUAAUUAUCUCGUUCAUCUCUUUAGCUUGGUCCGUUGAGGUGGAGCUCGGGUGGAGUGCCGUUGGAGCUUGGAUCGACGCCGACGUCGCCGCGGAGCCGUUCGAGCACGCGAGCAUCUUAGUCGCUGCAAGGCCGGGCGAGGGUUCGAUUCCACCAUUUUCGAUGUCGUACUGGAUUGUGAUUAGCGUUUGAGGUGGAUUUAUCAUCGAAAUCCUACUCCUAUAGUAUUGUUGGUCGACAUGUAUCGUUAAUAUUACAAGUUGUUAUUGUUUAACUCAAAUUCAGGAGUAGCUAUGUUUUAGACAUAUAAACUGAAUUGGGAGUAUGUUAUUAGUUGUUAUUAAUCAUACAUGUGGGACUUGGAUAAAACAUAGGAAAAACCAGCGUUCGGGACCUGGCAUAUGUUGAACUACCUGAUUUAGCCCUAGGGGCCGUUGUAUUUUUAUACUGUUGCAGUAUCUUCAUAGUGAGUAUCCCAGAUAGUUCAGAUUUCAGUUACGCUCGUGCUGGGAUGCUGAGCCGAUUUUUACAGUAGUGUUUACAGUGUUCCGGAUUAGUGGGUGCCGUAGUGGUUGAUGGCGGACCCGGAUUUGAUCGUUCCGAUAUCAGAUUGUGCCGAGGGCACGUGACUAGAGGUUGGUAGUACUAUUAGACCUGUUUUCUUGACUUUAGCCUGUGAGAGUCUGAUUGAGCUCGACAGAGAUACGCUUGCAUAUUCUGUUGGGUCGCGCCGACGAGUGCCGCUCCGGAGUCUGGCUUUGUGCUUUUGCGUUGAUGUCGCUAAUUAGUUGCUAUCCACAGGCUGUUUAGCAUGGAGGUAGCGCGGCUUAGACAGGCGGGAUAGGUGCGUACACAGUCCCUAAUGAGAUUGGGUCAGAAUUGAUAGUAGACACAGUGGGAUAGUGUAGUGGCAUGUAGCUGUGGAUUUCUUUCCGGAUUUACCUUUUAGCCUUAUUUUCUACUGUAGUCUUAGUGGGUGCGCCGAUGAUUUUGAGGGCGGUACCCACUGAGGACUACUUAUUUUUACAGUAGUUCUCACGCCCAGUUGUUACCCUGUAUUUUGCAGAGCCUGUUGUUCCGGCUGCUGCGUCUUCAGAGGCUGAUCGAGGCAAAGGCGUCGCGAGCUAGAGCCCUACCCGACGAAUCGCCGUGCUAAAGGAUCACCAGCUGCAGGUAGUAGUGUUUUUAUUUUGAGCUUAUGUAUAUACUGAUUCUAGAACUCGCUGGACCGAGUGUUUUUGUACUUAUUUGUUUGUAUGUAUAUGAGAUUUGUUCGUUCUACCUGCUUAGUUCUUUUUCGCUCUACACUAUUAUUUGUAGUAUUGUAUAUUUUACAGAGACAGCUAUCGCUUCGUAUACAGAAAAAUUUUUUUUGUAUACGACGGAUUUGUCAGCGUGCCGGGGAACGUGUAAUCCGGGGCGUGACAAUGGCCAACAGAUGAAUUAGCAAAACGAUUUGUGUACCUUUUGUGGCCGGAGAUCAUUUGGUAUAUUAUGUGCAUGGAUGUACCAAAAGAAUUAUUCAGAAAUUAAAAGAUGAGAGUCAGAUGAGAGAGAUUCAGAAAAAAAAGCUCGAGUUGAAACUAUUCUACGGAGAAGAAGAGUCGAUUGCAAUUAUUCUCAUGCUUGUGGUUGUAACUAUUGCAAAAUUUCACCAACUCGUAUUAGAGCAAGUACUAGACUUUUUUUAGCAAUUAGUACCAAAGCUGAUUGCAAAUUUUCAACAAUUGGUAUCAGAGCGUAGGAGUGGAAACGAGCCGAGCUUGAGUGAGCUUAUCACAGCUAAAGCUUGAUUUAAAAUUAAUUUUGAGCCUAAAUUUAGGUUCAAGCUUGGUUUGAAAUUAAUUCGUUUGAAAUUAAUCCGAGCCCAGCUAGAGAGUUUAACUUCGAGUCGAGCAAGCUCGAGCCCUAAACGAGCCGUUUGAAAUUUUUAAUAUUAUGCAAUCUAUAGUUUAACUUUUAUAAAAUAUUAUCUAAAAUUUAAUACAAAAAAUGUCUAAUAUUUUAACAUACAAAAUGAAUGUACGAAAUAUGAUAUUAUAAUAUUAAAAAAAAAAUUAGGGAAAACAACUCUGUGAGCAAGUAAAAAAAAAAAAGAGCAAUUAGAGUAGGGUUUUGCUUGUUUGGUUUUGUGGGCCCAAUAGCACCUAAACUNACAAUCUCAUUUCCAUCAGAUGUGGAGCAAUUGGAGUGUCACAAGCGUACAAAUUCUAAAUGCUGUAGAAUUGAGAUAUAUCAUAGCCAUCAUUUACGUGCGCUUAAUACAUGGGUGCAUAGAAGAGCAUGGCUGUAAUAUCCUUGGUUGAGUUGGUGGGGGGUAUAAUUAUAAUUUUUUUUUUUUAUGGUUAUCCACCCACCUACUCAACCAAUAUAUAUAUCCACCUAAGACUUUAGAGAGAAUUAAUUAUUUCAUUCAUCUCUUUAGCUUGGUCCGUUGAGGUGGAGCUCGGGUGGAGUGUCGUUAGAGCUCGGAUCGACGCCGACGUCGCGCCGCGGAGCCGUUCGAGCACGUGAGCAUCUUAGUCGCUGCAUGAGGAGGCCGGGCGAGGGUCCGAUUCCACCGUUUUCGAUGUCGCACCGGAUUGUGAUUAGCGUUUAAGGUGGGUUUAUCAUCGGAAUACUAUUCCUAUAGUAUUGUUGGUCGACAUGUAUCGUUAAUAUUACAAGUUGUUAUUGUUUAGCUCAAAUUUAUGAGUAGCUAUAUUUUAGACAUAUAAACUGAAUUGGGAGCAUGUUAUUAGUUGUUAUUAAUCAUACAUGUGAGACUUGGAUAAAAUAUAGGAGAAAACCAGCGUUCGGGACCUGGCAUAUAUUGAACUAUCUGAUUUAGCCCUAGGGGCCGUUGUAUUUUUAUACUGUUGCAGUAUCUUCAUAGUGAGUAUCCAAGAUAGUUCAGAUUUUAGUUACGCUCGUGCUGGGAUACCGAGCCGAUUUUUACAGUAGUGUUUACAGUGUUCCGGAUUAGUGGGUGCCGUAGUGGUUGACAGCGGAUCUAGAUUUGAUCGUUCCGAUAUCAGAUUGUGCCGAGGGCACCUGACUAGGGGUUGGUAGUACUGUUAGACCAGUUUUCUUGACUUUAGCCUGUGAGGGCCUGAUUGAGCUCGACAGAGAUACGCUUGUAUACUCGGUUGGGUCGCGCCCACGAGUGUCGCUCCGGAGUCUGGCUUUGUACUUUCGCGUUGAUGUCGCUGAUUAGUUGCUAUCCACGGACUGUUUAGCGUGGAGGUAGUGCGGCUUAGACAGGCGGGACGGGUGCGUACACAGUCCCUAAUGAGAUUGGGUUAGAAUUGAUAGUAGACACAGUGAGAUAGUGUACUGGCAUGUAGCUAUGGAUUUCUUUCCGGAUUUACCUUUUAGCCUUAUUUCCUACUGUAGUCUUAGUGGGUGAGCCGAUGAUUUUGAGGGCGGUACCCACUGAGGACUACUUGUUUUACAAUAGUUCUCACGCCCAAUUGUUACCCUGUGUUUUUCAGAGCCUGCUGUUCUGGCUGCUGCGUCUUCAGAGGCUGAUCGAGGCAAGGGUGUCGCGAGUUAGAGCCCUACCCGACGAAUCGCCGUGCUAGAGGAUCACCAGCUGUAGGUAGUAGUGUUUUUAUUUUGAGCUUAUGUAUAUACUGAUACUAGAACUCGCUGGAAAGAGUGUUUUUGUACUUGUUAGUUUGUAUGUAUAUGAGAUUUGUUCGUUCUACCUGCUUAGUUCUUUUCAGCUCUACUCUACUGUUGUAGUAUUGUAUAUUUUACAGAGACAGCUAUCGCUUCGUAUACAGGAAAAUUUUUUUUGUAUACGGCAGAUUUGUCGGCGUGCCGGGGAACGUGUAAUCCGGGGCGUGACAAUGGCCAACAGAUGAAUUAGCAAAACGAUUUGUGUACCUUUUGUGGCCGGAGAUCAUUUGGUAUAUUAUGUGCAUGGAUGUGCCAAAAGAAUUAUUCAGAAAUUAAAAGAUGAGAGUCAGAUGAGAGAGAUUCAAAAAAAAAAGCUCGAGUUGAAAUUAUUCUACUGAGAAGAAGAGUCGAUUGCAAUUAUUCUCAUGCUUGUGGUUGUAACUAUUGCAAAAUUUCAACAACUCGUAUUAGAGCAAGUACUAGACUUUUUUUAGCAAUUAGUACCAAAGCGGAUUGCAAAUUUUCAACAAUUGGUAUCAGAGCAUAGGAGUGGAAACGAGCCGAGCUUGAGUGAGCUUAUCACAGCUAAAGCUUGAUUUAAAAUUAAUUUUGAGCCUAAAUUUAGGUUCAAGCUUGGUUUGAAAUUAAUUCGUUUGAAAUUAAUUCGAGCCCAGCUAGAGAGUUUAACUUCGAGUCGAGCGAGCUCGAGCCCUAAACGAGCCGUUUGAAAUUCUUAAUAUUAUGCAAUCUAUAGUUUAACUUUUAUAAAAUAUUAUCUAAAAUUUAAUACAAAAAAUGUCUAAUAUUUUAAUAUACAAAAUGAAUGUACGAAAUAUGAUAUUAUAAUAUUAAAAAAAAAAUUAGGGAAAACAAUUCUGUGAGCAAGUGAAAAAAAAAGAGAGCAAUUAGAGUAGGGUUUUGCUGGUUUGGUUUUGUGGGCCCAAAAACACCUAAACUCUAUAUACAUAUAAUUAAAAUACAUAAUAUAUAUUUAUUACAUAUAAUUAAAUGUAUAUAUAUAAAGUGCGGUUAUUAUACUUUUAUGAGUAUAGAUCUCUUUAUACUAAUAAGUUUUCGGACGUUAUCCCUUUGACUAUUUCCACCCGUUAAAUCAUAUUAUUCAACCAACUACCCACUCAACCCUAAGGGAUCACUAUCAUCCUAACUGCACAUCCCUUCAUCCAUCGGACGAAAACUAAUAAAUACAAAAAGAUCUAUACUCAUAAGAGUAUAGUAAUCUUCUAUAUAUAUAUAUAUAUAUAUAUAUAUAUAGGCUGGGGCUACUAUACUCUUAUGAGUAUAGACCCCCUUAUACUCAUAAAUUUUUAACCGUUGAUUGAUGGAAUGUGUGGUUAGGAUGGUGGUGGUCCCCACUUAAAAUAAUAGUGGUUCCUUAGGGUUGAGUAGGUAGUUGGUUGAAUAGUAUGAUCUAACGGGUGGAAAUGAUCAAUGGAAUAAAUCUAAAAGCCGAAAACUUAUGAGUAUAAGGAAGCCAAUACUUAUAAAAGUAUAGUAGUCGGACUCAUAUAUAUAUAUAUAUAUAUAUAUAUAUAUAGAACUAGGCUGGAAUACUAUUAAUAGCACCAAUGACUUGGUGCUAUUAAGUUUUCCGCCCUUGGAUUAAAAGAUGUACGGUUAGGAUAAUGUGGGGCCCCCUAGGGUUGAGUGGGUGGUUGGUUGAAUAGUAUAAUCUAACGGGUAAAAUUAAUCAAAAGGGUUAAUCUAACGGCAGAAAACUUGAUAGCACCAACUUUUUGGUGCUAUCGAUAGCAUAGCAGCCGGACUCUAUAUAUAUAUAUAGUGAGGCUACUAUGCUUCUGAAAGUAUGGAGCCUUCCGUGCUUCCAGGUCUUUUUCGAUAUUGCGACUUUCGAAUUGUCGAUCGGCUCCGUUAAAUUUGAUCUAGAGUAUUUGAAAUACUUAGAAAAUAAAUUUUAUAAUUUUUCGAUAUCAUUUGCCUAGUGAUCGAAGUGGCUCAAAAUCAAUAAUUUUAAAAGCCGUUGUGAGCUGUUUGCAAGUUUAACGGUGUAGAAAUAUCCAAAUCAUGUGAAAUUUUGAUAGAAAAUUCUUUAUACUAUAUAAACAAGAUCAAUAUCUUUGAUCUAAAAUUUUAAUGUCAUAUUAUCUUGUUUUGUAAGAUUUUUAUUUUCAACCGUUGAUUUUGAGCCCCUUAGUUCACUAAGCAAAUGAUAUCGAAAAAUUGCAAAAUUUAUUUUCUAGGUACUUCGAAUACUCUAGAUCAAGUUUAACGGAGCCGAUCGACGAUUCGAAAGUCGCAACAUCGAAAACGACCUGGAAGCACCGAAGACUCCGUGCUUCCAGAAGCAUAGUAGCCUCACUAUAUAUAUAUAUAUAGUAGGGCUACUAUACUCUUAUGAGUAUUGGGCCCUUCGUACUCAUAAGUUGUNAGCAUAGUAACCGGACUCCUAUAGAAUUAGGCUAAUAUACUAUUAAUAGCACCAAGUUAUUGGUGCAAUCAAGUUUUUGGCCAUUGGAUUAAGAGAUGUGCAGUUAGGAUUAUGUGGGCCCCUUAGGGUUUAGUGGGUGGUUGGUUGAAUAGUAUGAUGUAACGGAUGAAAAUAAUCAAAAGUAUAGAUCUAACGGCGGAAAACUUGGUAGCACCAAGUGUUUCGUGCUAUUAAUAGCAUAGUCGCGGGACUCUCUCUCUCUCUCUCUCUCUCACUCAAUAUAUAUAUAUAUAUAUAUAUAUAUAUAUAUAUAUAUAUAUAUAUAAAAUUGAGCUGGAAUGCUAUUGAUAGUAUUUGGCCACUUUGGCUAUCAAGUUUUUAACUCUUGGAUCAGAAAUUAUAGGGUUAGAAUGAUAUUAGUCUUUUAAGGUCGAGUGGUCCCCCUAAGGUUGAGUGGUCCCCACAGGAUAAUAGUAUUAAUCUAAAGAUUAGAAAUGAUUAAAAUAACUGAUCUAAAGGCGAAAAAAUCAGAAACAUCGUAUCUUCUAUAUUUGCGACAGCAUAGUAGCUCUAAUAUAUAUAUAUAUAUAUAUAUAUAUAUAUAUAUGUGUGUGUGUGUGUGUGUGUGUGUGUGUAUACUCGAGUGUUUUUUAGCCUAAUUCGAAUAAUUCUCAACCUCAGUUUGAACUAAAUUUUAUUUUAUUUUUUUUAAUUCAUGCUCGCUCAUUUAAUUUCGAGUUGAGCUCGAGCAGCCGAAUAUCGAGCCGAACGCGAGUCGAUCGAGAGCCGGCUCGCUCAUCUGCCCAGCCCUAUCAGAGGGCGUACUCUUUCAUAUAACAAACUUGGCAUAUCAAACAACAAAGACGCAUGCGCAAAAAUUUGGAAAACUACUACAUCACCAACCUAUUCCUUUUAAUAAGAGGCGCUUACCUGACGGGAGCAACAGGCGGAAGUAAAUGAGAAAGUUUCUGGACGUAUAGCUUUCCUAUCGAGAUGUUGGAAUAUUUGGAGAGAAAGAAAGAAAGAAAAUUUUGGCAAACUACUGCAUCACAAACCUCUUAUUCCUUUAAGAGGCGCUUACGUGACGGGAGCAAUAGGCGGAAGAAAAUGAGAAAGUUUCCGGACAUAGCUUUCCUUUCCAGGUGUUGGAAUAUUUGGAGAGAAAGAAAGAAAUAUCCGAAUUGGUCUUCCAGAAAGAAAAGUCAAAAUUCUGAAGUACAAAAUGCCAAAACCUAACUACUAGGCCGAACUAAGAAGUGGAAGGAAGCCAUUAUUGUUAGACCCGGCAAACGGGCUAGAUUGGGUAACCCGCGGACGGAUUAUUGUAUUAGGCAUGGAUAAAAUUUACUCGUAAAUUUUUGCAUAGCCAACAUCUUUUUCCCCUGCAGGUGGGUGGGUGGGUGGAUAUGCGGAUUACUUACAUUUUUUUUUUUUUUGUUUUGCUCUUAUAUUUUUUAAAUACAAAUUAAACAUAUAUAUUAGUUUUAAAAGCGUAAUAUAUAUAAUUCAUUAUUUAAAAUAUUAUAACAUACAAUAAAAUAUUUAAAGUCUUAAAGCAAAAAUAUUUCAUAAGAUAAAAGACACACAAUAAGAAAUUAGAAUUAGAAUUUUUAGAAUAGAUAAAAAAAAAUAAUUUUUAUUAAAAAAAUAUAUUUUGUAAUUAAAAAAUAUAUGUGCCGGUACCCGUGGGUACCUGCGGGUUAUUCAAAAUGUCCGCAUCUUAAUGGGUAUCCACUUAUUUUACUCGUAAUUUUUUGGAUUGAAAAAGUUGAUAACCAUAUACACCCACAAAUUUGCGGGUUACACACGGGCACCUGCGGAUUUGGUUCGAGAUUGUCAGGUCUACCUAUUAUGGCACAUUUAUACUACAUCAUCAAUAACCAGCCAAACACAUCUUUCGGUUUGAAAAAAAAAAAAAUACAAUAAAAUAUUUUUCUAGUAACCGUGAUAGGAUGGAUGAAUCCAAAGAAGAGAGUCUGAUUGGUUAGGAUUGCCAUAUCAGUAUUAUAACUGGUGCAUUCUACACCUUUUCAAGAAGUGAAGUAGCAGAAAUAUAAGAUGCAGUGUCGUAUACAGGUGAUGAGGUAUCCCAAAUCAAUUAAUUAAAUUUCCCCAUCAUGAUGAAUUGUAGACGAAUAUUUUUGUUGUGCUUUUUCCAAGAAUCUGUUAUAUGAAGUAGGACGAUUGUACUGUUAUAGGAAGUUAGAUGUGCACUUCCGACUAUAUAUAUAUAGUUUGAAUUAUUAGCUAAGUACAUAAGAGAAUCAUUAAUCGAACAUGUGGAAAAUAUUUCCUCUUCCAAAGUCAUUAGAAGAAACAAACAUGCUAAGGAAUAUAUACUACAACAUCUCCGCGGCGGUCGAAGAGAGUUUGAAAAAGUGGUGGUGAGAUCGAUCGAUCGAGAAGGUACGUAUCGAGAAAGUUAGGGUUCGGGAAUGACGAAGAGCUUGGCUCGAAGCUUGUCGAAGAGCCAUGUCGGCGCGGGGUUUCUCGUGGGCUUCUUCCUGGUCUUGCUCGCCUACUUCACCGUGUCGGAGCAGUUUGCGAUCCGCGCUCUAAAUCGUGAGUUGCAGUUAUCUAUAUAUGCUCUCAGUCAUUUUGAUCCUUUCAUGUUACUUAGCUAGAUGUGUUCAAGCAACAUAUGUAGUGAGAAACAAGUUUGAAUAUUGAUUUUAUAAGAAAAUCUCAAUAUAAGAACGAUUUUUAGAUGACGCUUAGGAGAGGCGUCCCCAGGCAUCCCAAUAGUAUAGCAAAUACCGGCGUUUAAUUUAAAACGCGUUGUCAUAUGAGCACUCUAUUAUAUCAAACCAAUUUAUUAAAAGAGAAACUUUACUGUUAUUUUUAAUUCUAGGACGCUUUAAAACGACAGGAUUUCAAAAAAUUCUGAUGCUUUAAAGCGUUAGAAUAUAUUUUACCAAUAAUGACUUGUUAUUUGACGACACUUUUAAAUGUGACACUAGAUUAUAUUGAAACAUUUUCAAGCACCCUUCGUUCGGUAGGCAAAUGAUAUCGUAAAAUCAUAAAAUUUAUUUUCUAGGUACUUCAAAUACUCUAGAUCAAGUUUAACGGAGCCGAUCGACGAUUCGAAAGUCGCAACAUCGAAAACGAGCUGGAAGCACGGAAGGNUAUAUAUAUAUAUAUAUAUAUAUAUAUAUAUAUAUAUAUAUAAAGCAUGCAUCUUUAAAUGUUAAUUUUCUUAUAGUUAAUAUAUGUAUCUUUCUUUUUUGUAAAAUUAAAAAAGCAAAAAAAUAAAUUAGGCAAGCAUUUUAUUUUCUCUUUUUUCCUUCUCUUUUAUCAUUAUUAUUUUUUUGAUAUUUAUGUGCAAUGUUGAUUCUUAUGAGCUUAAUUGAAUUUUGUAGUUUUUUCACAACGAUCGACGGAACAUGAAGUUGUAUCAACUCCAUCUGCAAAGGAUGUAGAGCAAGGUGAGAUAAAUUUAAAUAAAAUUACCUUAAUUAUUCCUUAGCACUUAAUUUAAACCUUUGUUCUAAUUAUUAUAAGAUAUAUAAUAGUUAUUAAUUAAAGAUGCAUGAAAAUUAACAAAAUUAUCGCUCAUAAAGUGUUUAUUCUCUGUGACUAAACUAUAUGAAUUUUAUAGAGGAAAAACGAAACAAAAAACCAAUUUCUCUCACCCUUAAUUUAGUGAAUAUAAAUAAGUUUUAGCAUCUUAAAGCUUCCUACUAUUUAUUUUAUUUAUGAAGAAAUCGAUUAAAAAUGUAUAUUUGUUGGGAAAAAGUUGGGUUCGGACCUAAAAUAUACCAAAUGGAGAUUAGUUCGUUUGCAAUCAGUUAGUUUUCACGCCUAAUUAGCUCAAUUUGAUUGAGUCGCACCCCUUCCUACCGAGUGUUUUAGUUUCUUGCAAUAUCAAAAGUUUAAAUCUAUACUAAUUCUUAAAUAGAGAAGUUGCUCUUAUUGAUUUUCAAAAAUCUUUUAAAUAUCCCCAAACCUUUAGGGUUUACUACUUGGAUUUGGGGUUUAAAGGGGAAUUUUGGUAGAAUUAGAGUAAAUUUGAAAAUUUUGAAUAGUAAUCGGGGUUGAAUAAGCAAAAAUCCAAUUAAUAUAUAUAGGGCUUCUAUCACUAUGAGUAGAGUUAAUUCACUUUUUAUCUAACAGUGAUAUUUUAAUUUUAGUUAGUUAAUUUCACACUGUAGUGAGUUAGCGAAAAUUAAGGAACACCCAUUGGUAAAAUUAAUUAAUGAUCGAGAACUAGACUAAAAUUUAGUAAUUUGCUGAAUUUUUUUCUCUUCUCGCACAGGUAGAGGCGCCGAAAAAUCCAACCAACUGGUAGAACUGAAGCCGAUCUGCGACACGUCGAAUCCAGACUUUUGCGACAUCACCGGCGACACUCGAAUCCUGGGAAGCAACUCGACGGUCUUUUAUGUCCCUCCCCCCAAAAUCACCAAUCCUGAACCUCAAGAGUGGAAAACCCGAGUACGAACUCACAAGCACCUUAAGUUGAUCGAAUUCGUGACAAUAAAAUCAUUACGCGGUCCGUCCGAAGCCCCUCCUUGUACGGUCCGGCACGAUGUCCCCGCGGUCGUGUUCGAGCUAAGUGUCCAGAUUGGGAACAUCUGGCACGACUUCAACAACGUGAUCAUCCCCCUCUAUCUCACUUCUCGUCGGUUCAACGGCGAGGUUCAAUUCCUCAUAACCAAUCUCAAACCUUGGUUUCUCAAAAAGUAUAGCGUGAUACUCAAGAAGCUCUCAAGGUAUGAAAUUAUCGAUUUUUCUAGCGAUAAGGAGAUCCGUUGCUACCCGCGUGCCCUUGUCGGCCUUCGGAGGCAUCGUGAUUUCGGGAUCUUACCCAAUUUGCCUCCAAAAGGGUACACAAUGCUUGACUUCCGGUUGUUCAUUCGAGAAGCUUACUCGCUUCCAAAAGAUGUACCAAUAAGUUAUCGAGAUAAGCCGGAAAAGAAACCACGACUGAUGCUCAUAAAUAGGGGGGAAACCAGAAGGUUGUUGAAUAUAGAGGAAGUCGUGAAAUCGGCCGAGGAGUUAGGGUUUGAGGUGGUGGUCGUCGAGCCAAAGAGAGACCUAAACGUGACGGAAAUCGCAAAGGUGGUGGACUCAUUCGACGCGCUGAUGGGGGUGCACGGGGCCGGGCUAGCUAACAUCGUUUUCCUCAGAACGAACGCCGCCAUGAUCCAAGUGGUGCCCUACGGGAAAUUGGAGCCCAUUGCCGAGAGCUGCUACGGUUGGCCUGCGAGGGAAAUGAAAUUGCGAGAUGUCGAGUACACGAUUAGCUUGGAGGAGAGCACAUUGUUGGAGAGACUCGGGAGAGAUCACCCCGCGAUCAAGGAUCCGGAUUCAAUUCACAGGAGUGGGUUGAAAAAAGUGAGGGAGUUCUACAAGCUCAACCAAGAUGUGAAGCUAAAUGUCACAAGAUUUGCUCCCACACUAUUGAAGGCUCUUGAGCUUCUUCACAAAUAGCGGGUGUAAGGAAAGUAUUCGAAACAACUGCUUAACUUUUAAAUAUUCUUAUUAUUUAAUAUUUUAAUUUGUUUAAUUCGCGCGAUUUGAUGUUUUUUUUAUUGCAUAUGCGUCUGUGUUUAUUAAAGGAAUGGCACGAGAAACUUUACCGGAAAAGAUGUUUAGAAAUUUUGUUAAGAAAGAACCAUCAAGUAAUUAGUUCAAGAGCAUUGCAAAGCUAGAUAGUUUAAAUUAAAAUUUUUUAUAAAAUUGGUUGUUGUUUCACAAUUAAUGCAUGAGCAAUCAUUCAAAUUACUCUCUUUUUUUUUCUCGUAGUUUGGUUUCAAAAAAAAAAAAAAGAAGCCGGCCCAUUUGCGCAUCUCAAAUUUGAAAUUCAUAGAAUUUAAACUUUUUAUUCGGAACUAACUUUUCAAAAAAUGUAUUCUUAUAAUAGAAUUUUUGUUUUGUAGGAAUAUAUUUAUUUGAUAUAUAUCUUAAAAAUGACAAGAAUAUAUAUAUUAUUUCUACAUUUGGUUGAAUAUAGAAAUUUUCCAACUACAAUAUAUUAUCACAAUACCAAUUUCUAUAGAAACUAAUAUUAUACAUCAUUGUACUAAAUUAAUCNCAUUUGGUUGAAUAUAGAAAUUUUCCAACUACAAUAUAUUAUCACAAUACCAAUUUCUAUAGAAACUAAUAUUAUACAUCAUUGUACUAAAUUAAUCAUAUAAAAUCAUAACUAUUUGAAUAUAAAAUCUAUUUAAACAUUACUAAGUUUAGAGAAUUCUUAAAGUUAUUUGUCUCUUGUACUUAGUUUAAAUUUUUUUGGCAGAUAUAAAAUUUGCACAAAGAACUUUCACAGGAAAAAAAAAAUACUAAGGGAGGAGGUUGGUUUUUAAUCCCAUGUUUUAAGGGAUUAUAAAUGUUAAAAAAAAUUAAAAUCCUAUUACACUAUAUUCCUAUAAUAAAAUAAACAUGAAAUUUCACAAUUCUGCUGUUAUCUAAAACAAUACUGUAGAGUAAACAAGCCCUUAUAUAGAUGUGUUUCUCAAAUACAUGAUGAUAUCCAUAUAUAAUAUAUUCUGCCUAUCAUCUUUUCGUAACGCCCAAUCUAUCAGCUGAUCAUUCAUCACAUGGUUUAUGCAUUGGCACAUCAUUGGGUCUUACCAUUAGCCCAAAAAGCUUAAAUCUAUUUAUUAUUAUUAGUGUACCUUUUAGAUUCUGAUGUUCUCAUCAGCCCAAUUACACACGUAGUCCAAAAUCAUCAGGCAAUGUGAGACUUUCCCGUUAGUCUUGUCAUUCUGAUCCUAACUUAGGCUUGUCUUUUCGACUCUAGCUUGCCGGCCCAAAAUGCUUAGACCCACUUAUUAUUACUAAUAUCUAUUUUCAUCCGAUGUUGGAUUAUUAGGGCAUUACAAACUUUCUCCGUUUAGACUUUGACAUCCUCAUCAUGACUUUGGCUCAGUCGAGACUCAUCUCACACUUCCAACUGAUUAUUGACUCUGAAAUCGAAUAUAACAAUCUAUUUCACUAUAAAUAAGAACUCGUUAUGUAGGCCCAAACCACCCGUCCAAAAUGCUUAAUUCCAGUUACUACUAAUAGUGUCCAUGGUCUCUCUUAUGUGCACAAUCAUAAUCUCAUUUCUAUCCGAUACAGGACUAUUGGGACGUCACAUGUUACGCUCCAUGGUCUCUUAUAUACUCAAUCAUAAUUUCAUUCUCAUUCGAUGUAAAACAAUUAUGGCACGUGUCACAAAAGUACAAAUCCUAAAUUUUAUAGAAUCAAGGUACAUUGUAGCCUAUGCAUUGUAAAAUGCAUAAAAGGUGGGCUGAUUAACCGUAUAUUGAUGAGAGUAGCACUACUGAGAGAGCCAUGUGGGUAGCACUACUGAAUUAGCAAGAGGACGCGUGUGAUUUUCGUCUUUGUUAGUUAAUUCGCGAAUUGUUCACGAAUUAUUCACGAAUUAUUAAAAUUUUGAAUUUAAUGGUCCAUUUACGAAUUUUUUUUGAAAAAAAAAAAAUUAUUCGCGAAUUUUUGGGCCAGCCGAAUUAUUCACGAAUUAUUUCUGAAUUAUUAAAAAUUUGAAUAAAAAACUUAUAAUUUUUAUAUUUGAAUAUAGAUUAUCGUAUAUUUUAUAUCUUAUAUUUUAUAUUUUAUAUCGAAUGCGUUUUUUAAGCCGAAUUUUUUAAUGAAUUUAAAAAUUAGAAAACAAAUUUUAUACGUAUUAUACCUGUACCAAAUUUUUGCCGAAUCCGAAUUAACUAAUUAACUAUGGUUUUCGUGGCCAUGGAUAAUUCAAUACGAGAGAGAGAUUUAGAAAAAAGGGAUCCAGUAGAAAUUAUUCUGCAAAGAAGAAGAGUCGAUUGUAAUCAAUCUCUUUAUUGUGGUUGUACUCAUUGUGAAAUUUUAACAACCGGUACUGAAGCAAGUAUCAAAAUUUGCAGCAAUUAUCAUCAAAAUGGAUUGCAGAUUUUCAAUAGUCGAUAUCAGAGCGAGUACUAUUUCAUAUAACAAACUUGGAAUACCACACAACAAAGAGACAUGAGGAAAAAAUUCGGAGAACAACUACAUCAUAACCUAUUACUCGAAGCGACCGGAGCAAUGGACGGAAGAAAAUGUGGAAGGAGACAAAUCUAAGAAUUCAUCUUCCAGAAAAAGUCGAAGGAUGGAAAGAGGCAAAACUUUGAAUUACAAGAAAAAGUCUAAUAUGCAGCAGCAGUCAUAUACGUGAUGUAGCAUUCCAAACCAAUCAAAUCCCUUUUUUCGAAAAUUCACCCAACCUAACAUAAUUUGUAGAGAAAUAUUUUUAUUAUAGUCUUUUUUAGAGAAAAAACAUAUAAUUAACUGUAUAUAAAUGAUGUGGUGUAGUUGUUAUACAGUAAACUCUCUCAGUGGAUUGGAAUGCGUGAGAAGUUAACAUCAGCUAUAAUGUCUUUCGUACUAGUCAUACAUUUGUGUUCCCACUCCCCCGUAUGUGACGCCCCAACUUCCCAGGGGGUCACCCAUCCUAGGACUACUCCCAUCCUAGCACGCUUAACUCUCUUAACCUCUUGGGCCUUGCCACCACCCAAAAUGCUUCCCAGGGGGUCACCCAUCCUAGGACUACUCCCAUCCUAGCACGCUUAACUCUCUUAACCUCUUGGGCCUUGCCACCACCCAAAAUGCUUAAGCCGGGUUAAGAGUUUUAGCCCUAUUAUAUCUCAUAUAUAGGACUAUCUGGGGUCUCACACCUUUCCAUAAAGCAGGGCGUCACAUUUUAAACUACUAAAAUAUGAUAUAGUGUACUUAAAUUUAUAUUAAAAAUUAUUAAUCUAAGAUACUAAUAAUCUAAUUAUUUGAUUAUUAUUGAAAAUUAAUACAUAUUUGUUUUAAUUUAUGACUAACAUACAUUGAAUUACUAAAAUUUUGAUUAGCUUGGUUUAUUUUGUUUUUCUGGAUUUUAAUUUUUAGAGUCGAACUAAACAGAAUUAUAUGUAAAAUAGAACCGAAUCAACUGAUUUAAAUUGAUUCGUUUUGAUAAUUUGGUUUGAACAGAAUAAUGCUCACCCGGUCCUAAUCUGCACUAUGAAUAACCACUCAUCAAAAAUAAGAGAUAAUUGCACCCGUGCGGAUGGUACAGUUCGUGGCACUAAAAUAUCUCAUAAUGUUGUUUCAUUGUUGUUUUAUUGAGAAUGAGGACAUUGCAAGUACCUUUCAAAUUAAGAACGAAUUUUGGUUCAAAUUAUCAAUAAAAAUGGAGAUAAAACAUCUCAUCAACGUCGUUUUAUUGAGAUCAAUCAAAUGUCCAUGAUUAUAAUAGUGUAAAACAAUUAAUGAAUUCCAUCAUUAUUUACUGACUGAAUUUGAUCAUAUUUAAUAAAUAUAUUUUGCCUAACUCUGAUGACAUCAGUUUCUUCUACAUACGGGGAAUGAAAGGGGCAUAUGAUAGUAUCUAAUAUCUAAUAAAUAAUUUGAACAAAAUGUUGAGUACUUUGGAGAAAGAGAAAUGUUACCUACAAAGCUGUUUCUUUAGUCAGCAAAGAUGUAACAUGAACUGUUUGGCAUCAAAUGGGCCAUCAUUUGGAGUAUAUCCACAUACUAUUUAAAGUUCCAUAUAUAUUUACAAUGCCCCACACAGGUGCUUCCCAAAUACUAAGAUAAUAAUGUAGGCUAUUUAUAGCAUCCAUUCAGCAAUGUCAUGUGAUGCCUCAAUAAUUUGACAUAGAAUGAGAACGAAAUUGCGCUGGGAUAUAUAAAGGAUCAUGGAUCCUAUCCUAUUAAUAACAUCUGGGUUUAAGCAUUUAUUGGCUCCAACGAGUUAUUAUUACUAGCAGGUCGGAUCAUUACAUUUGGUAUCAGAGCCGAUUGUUCAAGUGGAAGUGUGAGAUUAGUCUCGACUGACCAAAGGGUCUAGGAAUUAAUGAUAGGCUAUGUCAGGAUCUGGAUGACGAGACUAGCGAGACAAAUUUCAUAUUUUCUGGUGAUUUUGAGUUCUGUAUGUGAUUGGACUAAUGAAAACAUUAGGGCGUAAACGGAGAGAGCCUGUGAUAUUCUAAUAUUCCCACAUCGGAUGAAAAUCAUAUUAUGAUUGGAUAUAUACAUUUUGGGCCAGUGGUUUAGAAAUUAUGAAUUAUUAUUGCGAGUGGGUCAGGUCAUUACAUAUCACCACUAAUUAUAAUUUAAAAUAGAGUUGAGCUCAUGUGCAUUUAAAAGCACAUGAGCAUUUGUGCUUGUGACUUUUUAGCUGUCGAAUACCUCAAAAUUCGUGCAGUACUAUUAGCAAUGUCUCCUAUUAAAAUUUUUUUUAUUAAAUCUCUUUUACUAGCACUGCACGAAUCUUGAGACAAUUCAACGACCAAAAAUUACAAGUACGUUGAGCUCAUGUGCUUUUAAAAGCACAGAAACUCAACUCCUAAAAACAAUCAAGACCACCCCCUUAACAUUUUGCCAUUUUGUAAUAAUUUUCUCAACCUUUCAAUUUCUUUGAUUCAUAUGUCCUUAACUUUUGGUUUCUUUGAUCUAAAAUAUAUGCUUUUUGUAAACCUGCCAAGUUUGUUGAUGAGUAGGAUAUAUAUAGUGUUUUUAUUAAAUCUAAAGAGAUUAACAACUAAUGAUUAGUAUCUAAGAAAAUUGUUAAACUUGGUAACACAUUUCAAUUCGAUUGAGACUGAAAUAAUUCAAACGAAAAUGACCAAUCUUUGAACUAAGAAAGGACAAAUCUUAAUUAGAGUCGUGCUAUAUGUAUAUUCCAUGAUGAGCUGUUAUGCUACUAAUAGCACUAAGCUUUUUGUGCUGUAGACUCGUUUUCAACGAUGGAGUAUUAAAUUUGACGAUUACGACUGAAAAAUAUGACAUAGAGGAUUUGAAUAUUAUAAAAACCAAAAUUUAUGAUUUUGGGUCAAAAUAGAACAGUUCUUCAAAAAUAAGGCAUAAAGUUUUUAAAUUCAACUAGAUUGUAAGGCCCAUUUUAAAUGGUAGGGAGGCCUUUCUGUUGAAAAUUUUUAGGUUAAAAAAAAAAAAAGAAUCAUUUUGGUUUGGAAAUUGAACACUUUAAAUUUGCAUCCAUUUUCACAAAUAUAAAUGAGUAUAUGAAAGCAUAAAGGGGAGACUCCUAGACUCGACCCUCUCACCUCUGGGCUUGAUCGAGGCCUCCAACUCUGAUACCAUAUAAAAUUAUAUAAAAUAAUUAUUAUUCUUUAAAAAUUUAAACUCGUAGAAAACGAUUUUUGUAUACUUUUAUAUUUAACAAAUAGUUUACACCACCAAAUAGUGAACCCCAGACAUUCCAGCUAGGCCAGAGACCCCUAUGUAACAGUAUCGAAUACAAACUAAGAGAUAGGUACAGAUACGGUGUGAUAGUCCCACAUCGGAUGGGAAUGGGUUGUCAUUGGGUUUAUAAGAGACUUAGACACUAGUAAUAAUAACUGGGCUUAAGCAUUUUGGGCCGGUUGUUGGGCCCAACGAGUUAUUGUUGCUAGUGGGCUGGGUCGUUACAAAAGGUCAUUCAUCUUAGAACUACUCUAGUCGUAACAUACUUAAUUCUCUUAACCUCUUAAGUAUAGUCGCUGCUCAAAUGUUAUAACCAGGUUAAGAAAUUCAUAAACAUUAGGCGAUGUGAGACUUGUCUUGCUAACCUGUAACACCCUAAUAGUCCUAUAUCGGAUAGUUAUGACUAGAUGUAGGAGUAUAUAAGUUUGAUUGGACUAAACAUAAUAACUGGGCUUAAGCACUAGGCCGGUGGUUUUGGCCCAACGAGUUAUUAUUAUUAGCGGGUCGGGUCGUUACAUUUGGUAUCAGAGCCAGUUCACCAGCCGGAAGUGUGAGAUGAGUCUUCGCUAAGACAAGAUUAGAAUGACAAAUUAAGCCAGAGUCGAUGAUUGACAGGCUAAGUUAGGAUCGGAAUGACAAAGACUAGCGAGACAAGUCUGUGACACCCCAAUAGUCUCAUAUCGGAUAUUUAUGGCUAAAUGUGGGAGUAUAUAAGCUUGAUUGGGCUAGGCAUAAUAACUGGGCUUAAAUAUUUUGUGCCGUUGGUCUUGGCCCAACAAAUUAUUAUUGCUAACGGGUCGGGUCGUUACAUAAUCUUAGACGAUUUUGUAGGGAACCGCUCUCCAGUCACAACGAACAUCAACCGCAACGAACAUCAGCCGGUGAGAUUGUAACACACUGGACCUAUGCAAAUUGCGAGGUUCGAGUGUUUGAUUUGGAUUCCGAGCUUUUCCACACUUUGUGGAGGGUCAUAGACGGUGUUCCAACCCGUAGUUCGAAAUUCUGAAUUUUUUGGCUAAGUUCUGAGAGUUUCACUCUCGGGGACCGGUCCCUAGUGGGAGAGACCGGUCCCCCUGAGGCAACCGGUCCUCUGGGUCAGAGAGACCGGUUCCUGAACGCGUGGCCGCGAGAGAGUCCUGAGGGACCGGUCCCAUGUGGGGAGAGACCGGUCCCUCCACCCGAAAUUUGCCCAGACCUUGCUGUGUGCAGGUUGCAAAGUUGAGGGACUUUUCUGAAUUUUGUUGCUUUAGAGGGCCUAUAUGGCUUUUCCUCUCUCUCUCUCCCUCAUUUCUCUCCCUCACACUCUCUCUUACACUUUAGAAAGAGAAGAAGAAGGAGAAGGAAGGAGGAGAAGGAGAAGGAGAAGAAGGAGAGUAAGCUUGGAGGAGCUUUGGACAUCUUCCUCUCCCUCUUUUCUCACCAUUGGAGACUUGGAGCUUGUUGUUGGAGCUUUGUGGAGGAAGGACCUUCAACCCUUGAGCACUUUGAGUGUGGUUUGAAGCAUCCUAGAGGUGAGUAGCUAGUUUCCUUCCUCUAUAUUCUAGUUUUUGAACUUUGAGCUAGAUGAAACUCUAAAUUUGAAUUUUAGGGUUAGAAAUGGGAAUUUUUGUUUGGAGGGCUUUGGAACCUAAUUGAUGGGUUUAAAACCUUUGUUUAGGUUGUAUUGGAAGGAUUAUAACUCCCAUUUGGAGAUUAAGAGAGUUUCCUUCGCUUUCGGUGAGUUUUUAGCCCUAUCCUUGAGUUGGUUUUUAAUCAACCUCAUGGUUGUUCAUUAGAUUCAUUUAACUCCCGUUUUGAUGCUUCUAGGGUAUUAGGAGGCUUGUGGGCACCUUCGUUGGAGCAAACGAAGGGUUUGGAGAAGUCCGGUGGGUUUGACUUCAUGAAAUCGGGACAAAACGGCCCCUAUGUGUAUUAUACUUGUCGUAACGUCAAUUUGAUUGCAUAUUCAUGCUAAAUGGGAUUUAUGUGAAUUUUAGAACACUUAAAAUACAUGUGUUAUAUAUUAUAAAAAUUUCACUCUAUAUAGUAGAGCUAUAUGUGUAGGCUGCAUGCAUGUGGAAGUGUUGAUCUAUGCGAGUUGAUUACAUGUCUCGUGCAAGAAAAAUGAUUAGAAUUAUAUAUUCAUGAACAUAAUUAUCAUGCUUUGACUUAGUGAACAAAAUGCCAUAAAGGGGCACCUGAACUAGUAAACUAUGAAGCUGCAAUAUAGAGACAUAGAGUUGGGCCAUUGACAUCUACUACAUUCCAUGUUUAGACAUGAUGAUAUAGAGAUAGGCCCUUGAGACAUAUGUUAUAUUUCAUGUUUUAGACAUGAUGACUUGAGACUUGAGACGGAUCUUACGCUUACUGCCAUUGUGCUCAUUCGCACACGCUUGUGAGGGUCGCUCCCUACAAGCCGGCACUCCGGAGAUGGCCAUCGCGAUACAUAUUCGCCGUGCGGGAUUGGGCUCCGAAGUAAAUUGCCGUGGACAAGGCUCAUUCCUAGAGUGGGGAUGUUGACUACCACGGGGCCAUUAGGCUCGGCACCGGCCAGACAGCCUACGGGUGGGUCUACAGGGCAGACAGCCUUCGGGCGGGUCUUCCAAAAUUGAACUUUAAGUAGUUAACAUGCAAGUGAACAUUGACUAGAGUAGUAAACAAUGACAUUUUACUAUUACAUUGUGGAUAUUAUGAUGGUUGUAUACUCGUGCAUUUUCAUGAUAGUAUAGCUUUCUUACUUAUGCAAUUCCAUGCUAAAUAGAGACCUCAUGUAGUAGCAAGUACUCAUAUUUAUUUACUUGUCGUAUAUAUCGCUUUUGCUUAUACUCGUACUUACUCUUUUUGUAACUUUUGAGCCUAGUGACGCAUAUCACUGAAGUCAGUAAUUGCCCACCGGGAACUAUUAUUUAAUAAUUCUCAUGUCCCCUGUUUUAUGGUUUAUUUCAGAGCCUUCGGCACCGGCGGAGGUACGGGAUCGCGGAAAGGGUGUCGCCUAGCUAGAUAGCGGGGAGCUACUUGCUCUUAGGUAGUUACUUUCUUUUUCUAUUUUGGAGAGAGAGAUUUUUGUACCAUAUAUAGAGACCACCUAUGUACUUUUUUAGUUCUUGUUUUGGGAUAUCUAUUGUAUUACUUAUGACUUUUAUUUAGUGGUUUUGGCUUCUUUCAUCUUUUCUUGUUGCAGAAAUCUAGAUGUACUUUGCUCUGAUACUCCUAGAUGUUCUUCUCUCAUUACUCUAUUUAUCGAUUUGUUGUAGACACCUUAUAUGUUUUAAACAUAUGGCGGGUCUGGACACGCGCCGGACGGACUUUCGCUGGGCCCCGGGGCGUGACAGAGAUUUCGCUUUAUGUUAUUUUAUUUUAUUUCAUAGAAACACUAUUCUACUCUAAACAAACCUGAUAAUUUUAUUAAUACAUCCAUUUUAGAUAAAAGGAAUCAAAAGUUGGGCAUAUAUCGAUUAAAGUAAUGGACACAAGUUGGGAACCCAUUACAAAAUAACCAAAGUAUUUUUUUGUAAAUUUUUUUGAGAGAAAGAUAGCAAGUUAUCUACUGCGCUCAUUUAUUUUUAGAAAUAAAUUCAGAUAGAAAAAUAAAGUACUAUGCUUCAAAUUUGAAACCUCAAGUGUCAACCAUCAAGUCCUUAGCAAACUGCACUGGGUACCGUCUAUCAAAAUGACAAAAAUGUUGAGGGGAUCUUCAUAUAUGUAGCAUCUAAAUUAUAAUUAGUGAUGGCAUUGUGGAAUGCAUGUUACAAUAGCUAGCAACAUUGUCAAGUACUUGGGAAGCAUCUUUGUGGGGCAUUUUAGAUAUGUCAUAUGUGUAGAUCAUCAAAUAUCUCCAUGUGGAAACUCCAAAUAAUGGACCCAUUUGAUGCCAAAUAUAUAUACUUCAAUGUUACAUCUUUGCUGACUAAAAGAAACAGCUUUGUAGGUAACAUUUCUCUUUCUCCAAAGUGCUCGACAUCUUGUUCAAAUUAUUCGCUAGAAAAUAAAUACUUUCGUGUACUCCUUUCAUUCUCCGUAUAAUUUAGAAGAAUUUAAAGUGUGUCAUCAGAGCUAGGCAGAAUAUAUUCAUUAUAUCUAAUCAAAUUUAGCCAGUAAAUGGUGACCAAAUUCAAUAAAACUAUUGAUAAAAUUCUUGAGUUCAGGUUUUCUUAUUUUGUGCUUGGCAAUAGUUUUAAAUACUGAGAUUUAGAUAAAUUAUAAUUGAAAUGAACAUGAAAAUAACAUCCAAAUGUUAUAGUUUAGUUUCAAUUGUUUGAGCUAACACAUUUUAUAUUUUUUACUACUUGAAUAUUCAUUACAGAAGGGGCAAAAAUCAAGUAGGACUCGUCGCACAAGAUAACUGAUCGAGAUAUGAGACAUUGGAUAGAUUAAGUGUCCUUGGACAACUCGCACCGUAGUUAUUGUAAUCCUUUUAAUGUAGGGUUAAUAUAGAUAAGAUAUGUUCAACAAGUACCAAAACUUACAGACCGUCACUAGAGCAAGUGGCAAAGGGUUUGGUGGUUGGUACCCGAGACCCAAGUUCGAAUCCUAGUUGAUUCACAUUUCCAGCUAAGUUUAUUUCUAAAUUAAAUAAACGAAGCGGGUAGCGUGCUACCUAUCUCUCAAAUAAAAUAAAAAAAAAAAAACAAGUACCAAAACUUUGUGUUGGAUUAUUAUGUCCUUUAUUUCAACAAAAAAAAAGUGGGUUAAUUUCACUGGUGCCCUUCAAAAGGUUGAUAAUAUCGUAAAUACCCUCACAAAAUCAGUAAUAUCGUAAUUACCCUUUUAAAUAUAUAGAUUCUUUCAAAUCUACCCUUAUUUGCAAACUCCGUUAAAUUCAUAUAAGAUUAAAGAUUAAUUACCAAUUUUGCCCUUCAUCCUUGAAAGGUGUUGGGGGUUAUAGUGAGAAAAUAUAUGUUCAACUUCCUCAACUAUAGACUAUUUUGAAAAGGAUCCCUAAUUUUUUUCCUUGUGUAAAACACCCAUUCAAUUUUCAUUUUUUUGAUUUAAAUUAACUCCACGAAUUAAAUUAUAUACGUUGUUCAAAACUAAAACACUCCAUUAGCAACUAACUAUUAAAUCUAUAAUGUCUUUAAACAAAAAUCGUUAAAGCCGUUAUAUUUGAUGAAAUAACUAAAAUUUUCAUUCAACUUGCAAAAAUAGUGUAAUUCUAGAUUUAAUAAUUAGUUGCUAAUGGAGUGUCUUGACUUUGAACAAAAUAUUUAAUUUAAUUAAUGAAAUUAUUUUAAACGAAAUAAAUAAAAUUUGAAUGGGUCUUUAUACAGGAAAAAAAAAUUAGGAAACUUCUUCAAAAUAGCCUAUAGUUGAGGGGGUAGAAUGUAUUUUUUCUCACUAUAACCUUCAACACCCUUUAAGGAUCAAGGGCAAAAUCGGUAAAUAAUUUUUAAUCCCAUAUGAAUUUAACGGAGUUUGCAAAUAAAGGUAGAUUUGAAAAAAUCUAUAUAUUUAGAGGGGUAAUUAAUUAUGAUAUUAUUGAUUUUGUCAGUGUAUUUACGAUAUUAUCAAUCUUUUGAAGGGUACCAGUGAAAUUAAUCCAAAAAAAGUAUUCAAACUAUUGCAAAUCCAUGUUGAUCACGAAAACUAUUAAGAGUAUCUAAUCCACCCUCUCACCCAUGUGGACAAAGUACAUGUAUAACUAAAUUAUAUAUAUAUUCAAACACUCAAAAACAGAAUAAUGAAAACUAAGUUAAAUUGAGCCUUUUUAAAUACUUGAGUAAAAAUUUCAAGUUUGCAAAAAUUCGUAAAUCAAUUUAUGUUUUAUUCGGAUGACAUAUACAAAGCGUGGGGUGGAGAAAAUCCAUUUAUCUUUUUGUUUUUUUUUUUUUUUUUAAUUUUCUUAAACCUAAGAAGUGUAAUUUUAUAAUCCGGAUGUAGGAGUUAGACAUUUGAUUGUUUAAAUAACAUCUCAGAUAACAAUGAACUGCUCAAUAAACCGAUCAAAAUUUAUCAGCUUUUUUUAUUCAAAAAUAUUUUUAUAUUAGCUUUUAGGCAAAAUUACAGAAAAUUAUUUUGUUAAUAUUCGCUUUUUCAUUUCCUCCCACUCUAUCAUUCAAAACCUACACUUUGCUUUCUUAAAAAAUAAAAAAUGUUCAUUUUGACCCCGCCGUCAGUAUUGCGUUAGGAUUUCGUUUAUAUUCUAUUUUUGAUACCCAAAAUACUCUUAAAACCCUCAUCCUUCCUCAUCCUCGACCGCGCCGUCUCGCCUUCCGCCGCACCGCCUCGCUCUCUGCUGCCUCACUCUCGCCUACCUCUGCUGCCUCACCCUCGUCCUCACCCUCGCCACCUCUACGUCCAUGCCCAUUCCGAAGAGGAUGAAAGGUAAUUUGAUCAUUUUGUUACAAUGUAUCUUCCUGUAAAUAUUUUUUAUAUUUUUUAAAAAAUAAAAUAUAAAGCUUUGAAUGAAAGAAAAAUAAAAGUAAAAAUACGAAUAUUGACAUAAAGAUUUUUUAUAAUUUAGCAUAGAUUUUAAUAUACGGCAGUAAGUUCUGUUAAAAAAGACAAAGAAAAGGAACUUUUUUUUCCCUUUUUUUUUCUCUUUUAUUUCCAAUUUGUCUCUAGUUUUCUUUUUCUCUCCUUUUUCCUCUUUAUGCUUUUUUUUUUUUUUUAUUUCCUGAUCAGGAUUAGGAACAGCAUCCCUAUGUUUAACACUUCGGUUAAAAAUGCGCGAGAACACCCUGUACUAUCCAAAUAUUGCGACUAAACAUCUAUGCUUUUCACUUAAAAAUGUUUAGCUUUUCAAACUUUCCUGUAGUAAAAUUAUCUUCUUUUUUUUCACCAAAUAGUUAAUUUUCUCCUUCACGAAUUUUUAACGAAUCACUUAUUUUAGUUUACUUUGCGUAAAUAUUCAAAAGCUAAAGUAUUAAUUUUACCAACUAAUAAUCACGAGAACCAAGUUGCUAUAUCGAGAGACUAGAGGGACUGUGCACAACAUUGUUUUAACCCCCACGUGUUGGAAAAUGAUUGGCCCUUAACUAUGUACGACUUUAAUGCGUUGUGGCCACGUGUCGCUUUAGAAAGAUAGGAUCUGCAAACUCCUCAUUGGCCCAACGAGAAUCUAAAAAAUUUUAAAAAAAAUAAAAAUAACUCAAGUUAUUAUAAUAAUACUACUAACUAUGCACUUCUUUGUCGUUCUCCACCAGCCCCUUCAAUAUUCGUGCACGAAGCAUUUAUAGUCCCCAUCAUUAAAUGACUAAUUUUUGCUUAUUAUUAUUAUUAUUAUAUAUAUUAAGGGAGAUCAAGCAUUAAGAUACUAUUCUUCUUAAUUAGAUCUAAUUAGGGAAAUAUUAUUAAUUGGUAGUACCUAUACUAUCCUGAUAUUGAACCUUGGUCCCUGUAUAUUUAAUAUAAAAACUUGGACAAUUUACACUUUUGGUACUCAAAUUUUAAUUUAUUGUAAUUUUUUGUGCAAACUUUUUGAAUUAUUACAAUCAAGUUAUAUAGCUAGCUCAAUUUAAAAAUAUUGACAAAUUGUUGAUGUAGAAAUAAUAUAUAUAUAUAAAAGUAUUGUAAUUGAUAAUGCGACAAUUAAUCACUAAGAUGAUAAACUACUUCUAUGUUAAUAAUUUGUCAAUAUUUAGUCAAUUAAUAAAUGUGAUUGUGAUAAUUUGGAAUGUUCAGAUCAGAAAUUAUCACAAAUUAAAAUUUUAGGACCCAACUGUCAUGCGUUGUAUAAUCUGAGGAGCAUAAGCCUAAUUUACCCUAAAAACUAUAUACUAUUCUAAAAUCUUUCGUGUGUAGUGCUUAUUAGCCCUAAUAAGACUAAACAUCUUCUUCUAUAGAGAGAUAAUUAAAAUUAUCGUUUAAGGUGAUUAAGACCAAAUUUUUGUAUUUAUAUGUGUAAUUUUUUCUGAGACUAUUUUAUUUAAGGAGGAAGUGUAGAGAUCUAGUUGCAAUACUAUGAUAGUACAAGAAGCUACGCGCAAAUUUUACGCGAAAAAGCCCAUUUCUUCAAAAUAUAAGUUAUGAAGGUCAUUUCAUAAUAAAAGGUAAAAUUUUCUAUCCACAAGCGACUAAAGUGUAUUUAUAAUAAAAAAUAAACAAAUUUCUACUAUCUAACACAUAAUCAAUAUGAUAUGAAAUUUUAGUCUUGUAUCAUAAACUUUUGUGAGAUUUUAUAUUUUCAGCCAUUAAUUUUUUAGCCUUUUCAAUCAUUAAAUAAAUUAUAUCGAAAUACUCUAAAACAAGUUUAAUGAAACUGAUCGUCAAUUUGAAAAUUUCAUUAUCAAAAUCAACUUAACAAAUAUUGUGACAUUCGUGCUUCUAAAAGAACUCCAGCUUACACGCACGUAUAUUUAUCUCCACCUUAACUUAGUAGAAUUAAUGAGUCAUUAUUAUUGUUCGGAAAUUAAUUAACUAAUUAAAGCUUAUUUGCUACUAAAAAUAAUUAAGUCAAAAGUACUACCCAACCAUGUUUACCCAAAAGUCUACUCUUCUUAUAUAUAAACCAAGUAGGAUGAUUCCCUACUGUUAUUGGAAGUUAAAUAUGCACUUUUGACUAUAGUUUGAAUUAUUACUUAAAUAAAGUACAUAUAUAUAUAUAUAUAUGAGAAUCAUUAAUUGAACAUGCAUCUACAACAUAUUUCCUCUUCCAAAGUUAUUAUAAGAAACAACAUGCUAAGUAUUUGUGUAAAGCUUCUUCUGCUAUAGUCGUCGCGAAGAUCGAGUUUGAAAGGGUGGUGCAUGGUGAGAUCGAUCGAGAAGAUACGUAUCGAGAAAGUUAGGGUUUGGGGGUGAUGAAGAGCUUGGCUCGAAGCUUGUCGAAGAGCCAUGUCGGUGCGGGGUUGCUCGCGGGGUUCUUCUUGGUCUUGCUCACCUACUUCACCAUGUCGGAGCAGUUCGCGAUCCGCGCUCCGAAUCGUGAGUUGUAGUUACCUAUGCUCUUGAAUCAUUUUGAUCAUUUCAUGAAGGCUAGAUGAGUUCAAGCAACAUAUUUUGGGCACUACUAAUUUUUAUGAGAGCUUAUUUGAAUUUUGUAGUUUUUUCGCAACCAUCGACGGAACAUGAAGUUAUAUCAACUCCAUCUGCACAGGAUGUAGAGCAAGGUGAGACAAAUUAACAUAUAAUUACCUUAAUUAUUUUUCAUUUUUUUCUUUGUUUUGUGAGAUGAUAGUGGAUUAACUAAAGAUGGUUAAAAUUACUGUAACUAAUAGAUUAGUUUUUAAGGAAAAAAAAAACCUUAUAUAUAUAUGUAUAUAUCAUUUUAAAAUUUUAUAGUUUUAAUGAAGAAGUUGAUUAAUUAAAUGUCGAAUGAUGAAUGGCAGGAUCAAAAGAUACGGUAGAAGAAAUCGACGCGGGCCGUAACGAGCAGGAGCCAAAAUCAGAUAAAUUCAAAAAGGAAGAAGAGAUCAAAGAAGAGGAAAAAACAUCAAAAUCUUCAAAGAAUACUCAACAACUAGGUAAGACACUUAACAUUCCACACACUAAUGAAAUUUAAUAAUUUUCCAUAUUAAAUGAAAUAAAUGAUAAAGAGCUUGGUGGUAAAAAGUUUGGUCGUUGGUACCUGAGUUUCAAAAUUCGAAUCCUAAUUGAUUCAUAUUUUCAACUAAAUUUAUUUUUAAAUAAAAUAAAUGAAGCAGAUGGCAUGCUACUUAUCUCUCAAAUAAUAAUAAUAAUAAUAAUAAUAAUUUUUCAAAUUAUCUAAUGCUACAAAUUUAGAAAGUUUACUUUUAAUUUGCUCGUCUAAUUAAUUUCUUUUAAAAAAAUUACUAAAGGUCAGAAAAGUUUCACUUUGCCCUUAGUCCCCUACAAGAUCAUCAUAAUUUGCUUUACUUCUACUUAUAUAUCGAGUGAUCUCAUAGUCCAGCUAGCAAAAGACAAGAUUUUUAUCAACCGCACAUCCUUUCAUCCAACGGCCGAAAACUCAAUAGUACUAAGGACUUGAUACUGUUGAUAGUAUAGUAGCAUAAUUCUAUAUACAUAUAUAUGAAUUGAGCUCCUAUACUUUUAAAAGUACCAAGUGAUUGGUAUUUGUAAGUUUUCGGCCCUUGGAUUAAGGGACAAGCGGCCGGUUAGGAUGAUGUAGGCCACAUAGGGUUGAGUGGGUGGUUGGUUAAAUAGUAUAAUUUAGCGGAUAAAAAUGAUCAAAUGUGUAGAUCUAACGAUAAAAAAUUUACAAGCACCAAAUGCUUGGUGCUUUUACAAGCACCAUAGCCGGACUCCAUAUAUAUAUAUAUAUAUAUAUAUAUAUAUAGAGAGAGAGAGAGAGAGAGAGAGAGAGAGAGAGAGAGAGCUAGGCUGGUAUACUAUCGGUAGCACGGAGACCUCCGUGCUACCAAGUUGUUUUCAAUGAUGUGGCUUUCAAAUCAACGAUCGGUUUCGUUAGACUUGAUCUACACUAUUGAAAGUAUUUGGAAAACUAAAUUUCAUAACUUUUUGACAUAUUUUGGUUAGUGAUCAAAAGGUGUCAAAAUUAACAAUUUUAAUGAUAGAUGUGAUGCGUUUGUGAAUUUAACGGUGUAAAAUAAUCCAAAUCUGAUAAAAUUUUUAUAGAAAAUUCUUUUCACUAUUUAGAGUAAAAUCAGUACAUCUGAUCUUAAAUUCAAGUCUUUUAUUAUCAUUUUUUAUGAGAUUUUUAUUUUCAGCCGUUUAUUUUUAAACUACUCGUUUGAUAGGUAAAUAAUACAGAAAAAUUAUGAAAUUUAGUUUCCAAAUACUUUCAAUAGUGUAGAUCAAGUCUACCGAAACCGAUCAUCGAUUUGGAAGCCGCAUCAUUGAAAACAACUUGGUAGCACAGAGGCCUCCGUGCUAUCGAUAGUAUACCAUCCUAGCUUUUAUAUAUAUAUCUUUCACAUGGAUGAAAGAGAUGAUUGCGUGUAGCAAUUUUCUGCAUAUUGAGUUAUAGGACUUUGAUUUGUUUCGAAGAAUUUCUAAUUUACAUGUAUUAUUUUCUAUGUUAAUUUUCUUUUUCUUUUUUUUUUUUCCACAUGGUAUAGGGAAAUUAAUUUUGGCUUUGUCCCACAAAACAAGCUUAACUUAUUCUUUAGUGAUUGAUAAUUUUGUACUGUGAAAGCUCCAAUCCACAUAAAGACAUGUUGCUUCAGGACAAGUUUCUUCAUAUUUUCUAUUGAAAUUUCUAUCUAUUAUCUUACCUUCCAUUAAGAUCUAGUUCGAGAACUGCGUCGAAAAACGCAUCCGCUUUGGGAUUCGGGUCGGGUUCGAGCCGGCUUUGGUUUGGUAAGUUUGAAUUGAAUAAAAAAAAAACAAAAUUAUUUGGGACCCAUUUAUGGUGGCCCAACCCUAGCCUAAAAUUCUAUUUUGGAUAUCCAAACUAUUCGUGUUGCGAGUCUUUUGAACCCUCUAAAUUAUAAAGCAGGUAUAUUUGACGAAUAUAUUUUCAAACUAAGACAAUGUAAAACCACCAAAAAUAAAAAUCGGAAUCUUCGGACAUAAAGUGUUUAUUCUGUAUUUAGAUUAUUAAAUUUAAUAAUUUUCUACACAGUAAUAAAAUGCAUUUUGUUCAGUUGCGCGCGAUCGACUUCGUUUGGUCUAAUAUAUAGCUCAACUUGUUCAAGUCGCACCCUUAUCUACGAGUCUUUUAGUUUCUUUUUUUUUUUUUUUUUGAGAGAUAGGUAGCACGCUACCUGUUUCGUUUAUUUCAUUUAGAAAUAAACUUAGCUGGAAAUGUGAAUCAAUUAGGAUUCGAACUUGGGUCUCGAAUACCAACCACCAAGCCCUUUGUCACUUGCUCUAGGGACGGUCGGUGAGUCUUUUAGUUUCUUGCAACUUCAAAAGUUUAAAUCUAUGCUGAUUUUCAAAUAGAAAAGUUGCUCAAUUUUUUUUAUCGCUAUUUUUUUCUCACUAUGCAUAAUUUUUCGUACGGCAAUGGCCAGAAAAAGGAAAAAACUCUUUUUGGUUUCUUCAUAUCUUUAGCUUAUUUCAUUCUAAAAAUUGAAUGAAGCAUUUCGAUACGUUUUGGAUAAUAAUCAGGUAUUUGGGACCUAAAACCUAAUUUUAACUUUUAUUUUGAUUCCUAAUCGCCAUGUCACUAAUUUUUCUAUUUCGUUGCACUUCUAAUGUUUUCAUUAUUAAAUUUCUCCAUUUCUUUAGAGUAAUAGUGUCAUGUACGUUAGGUGAUAAUAUCUGAUAUGUCCUUAAAAACUUCAAAAAUAUCUAAUAUACACCUGGUUGGCUAAAAUGCCCUCUUUGAUUUUUUUUAAAAAUACUUUAAAAAUAUCCCCAAACUCUAGGGAUUACUAAUAGGCUUUGGGAUUUAAAGGGGAAUUUUGGUAAAAUUAGAGUAAAUUUGAAAUUUUGAAUAGUAGUCAAGGAUAAACUAAUAAGCCAAAGUCUUAUUAAUAUGUAUAAGGCUUAGUAGAGUUAAUUUACUUUUUACCUAAUGGUGAUAUAUUAAUUUUAGUGAGUUAAUUUCAAACUGUAGAGAAUUAACAAAAAUUAAGGAACACUCAAAUGAAGAUUCUUGCUCUUUUCAUGUAGGUGGAGGCAACGACAAAUCCAACCAAUCGGUAGAGCUGAAGCCGAUAUGUGACACGUCGAAUCCACGAUGCGACGUUUGCGACGUGACAGGCGACGCUCGAAUCCUCGGGAGCCACUCGACGGUCUUAUACGUCCCUCCCCCCGAAAUCACCAAUCCUGAACCUCAAGAGUGGAAGAUCCGAGUACAAUCUCGCAAGUACCUUCCGUGGAUCAAAUUCGUGACAAUAAAAUCAUUACGCGGCCCGUUCGAAGCCCCUCCUUGUACGGUCCGGCACGAUGUCCCUGCAGUCGUCUUCGCGCUCGGUGGCCUUAUAGGGAACGUGUGGCACGACUUCAGUGAUGUGAUCGUGCCCCUCUACCUCACUUCUCGUCGGUUCAACGGCGAGGUUCAAUUCCUUAUAACCGAUCUCAGACCUUGGUGGGUCGAAAAGUAUAGUGUGAUACUCAAGAAGCUCUCGAGGUACGAAAUUAUCGAUUUUGAUAGCGAUAAGGAGUUCCGUUGUUACCCACGUGCUCUCGUCGGCCUUCGGAGCCAUCGUGAUUUCGGGAUCUUACCCGAUUUACCUCCAGAAGGAUACACAAUGCUGGACUUCCGGUUGUUCAUUCGAGAAGCUUACUCGCUUCCAAAAGAUGUACCGAUAAGUUAUCGAGAUAAGCCGGAAAAAAAGCCACGACUGAUGCUCAUAAAUAGGGGGAAAACUAGGAGAUUAUUGAAUGUGGAGGAAGUAGCGAAAUCGGCCGAGGAGUUAGGGUUUGAGGUCAUGGUCAUCGAGCCAAAGAGGGACCUAAACGUGACGGAAUUCGCAAAAGCGGUGGACUCGUGCGACGCGCUGAUGGGGGUGCACGGUGCGGGGCUUACGAACAUCGUUUUUCUCAGAACGAACGCCACCCUGAUCCAAGUGGUGCCCUACGGCAAAUUGGAGUCCAUGGCCGAGGGAUUCUACAGUUGGCCCGCAAGGGAAAUGAAAUUGAGAGAUGUCGAGUACUCGAUUGGCGCUGAGGAGACCACAUUGUUGGAGAAAUUUGGGAGAGAUCACCCUGUGAUCAAGGAUCCGGAUUCAAUUCACAACAGUGGGUGGCAAAAGGUGGCGGAGUUCUACAUGUUCAACCAAGAUGUGAAGCUAAAUGUCACAAGAUUUGCUCCCACACUAUUGAAGGCUCUAGAGCUUCUUCGCAAAUAGUGGGUGCAUGUGAGGAUCUUUAUUAACAUUUAAAUUUUACUAUUUAGUAUUUUAAUUUGUUUAAUUUGAACAAUUUAAUGUUUUUUUUCAUUGCAUAUUUUGGUUCUGGCGUUUGUGUAUGACACAGUGAAUUACUCAAAUAUGCAACAAAAAAGAACCGGCCAUCAUGUAAUUAGCUCAAGUGCAUUUAAAUUGAAAAUUUUUAAAAAUUGGUUGUUGUUUCACAGUUAAUGGAUGAGCAAUAAAUCAAAUUACCUUUUAUUUUCUUUUGCAACUAUAGGGCAAUUUGUUCUUGUAGUUCGGUUUCAAAAUUAUUCUUUCAUCCAUCUCUUCUUUAAAUUCAAUCGUAUAUUUACUCUAAAAUCGACCAAAAAAAGAACAAAAGAAAAAUUGAAAUCCAUUUGUAAUUAAGGGAGGAGGUUUGUUUACAUAUAAAUCCAUAUAUUUUAAGGGAUUAUAAGAUUUCUUGAAACAUUUUAAAUCCUAUUGCGCCAUAUAUUCCUAUAAUAAAAUAAAUAUGAAAUUUAAAAUAUACUGUGAAGUAAACAGACUCUUAAACUAGUUUUGCUAUGAUCUGCAGCCCAAGACAAUGCAGGUGGUGAAGCAAGGUAGACCAGUAGGCCCUUUUGACUUAUAUCUAUUUACAAAAAUAUUGGCCCAAAAAUUUUAUUCUUAUUCUCAUUAUUUUUUCUAGGAUUAAUUUCCUACAUAUCCCCGCAAAUAUAUAUAGUGAAUGACAAAUAUAUAUCUAUAAAGUUUAACUUUUAUAUGUUGUCGCUACAAAAGUUCUAAUGUUUUUAAAUAUGUUCCUCUGGUUUGUUACCAUUAGAGAAUCGUUAGAAAACUAUUUAUAUUUUCAAUUUUGCCAUCAUAAAUAUAUCCCUUCCAAAGCCAUACUAGUAUUAUAUAAAGAGGUAAAAAUGUCAAAAACUAAUUAGGAUUAAGUAUUUAACCGAUGGUUAACUAACUUUUUCUAACGGAUUCUAACGGCAGGAACAUAUUUGAAAACAUAAGAACUUUUGUAAGAACAAUAUAUAAAAGUUCAACUUAAUUUCUAUGGAUAUAUUUAUUAUUCACUAUAUUUGGAAAGUCAUGUAUGAAAUUAACCCUUUUUUCUAUAUAUAUAACGUGAAACUUAAAAAAAAAAAGUGAUCAAUGUAUGGAGUGCGCUAGGGGUGUCAACGAGCCGAACACCAGUGAGCUGAGACUGGUUCAUGUUCGGCUUGUUUCAUAAACGAGCCGAACACGAGCUGGCGCGUUAAAUUAAGUAUCGAGCCGAGUAUGAGCUGGCUCAUGAUUAGCAAAAUAAAAGAAUUAUGAAGGAUAUGUAUAGAAAAUAAAUUCAUGAGAUCUUACCUAUUUAACUUGGAUCUAAUAGUUGAAAUUUUACAUAUAAAUGACCUUUUCAUAAUUGAGUUGGGUUUUAUAUUUAUGUUACAUUAAAAAUUUUAUAUAUAUAGAGAGAGAGAGAGAGAGAAGAGAGAGAGAGAGAGAGAAGAAGAGAGAGAGUCCGGCUACUAUACUUUAUGAGUAUAGAGCCUAUUAUACUCAUAAAUUUUGGCCGUUAAGAUCUACCCUUAAUCAUUUUUAUCUGUUAAAUUAUACUAUUCAACCAAACUACCCCAGUACUCAACUCUAGGGGGCCCACUAUCAACCUAACAGUAAUCAACUUUCAUCCUAAAUGUAUAUUUUUUCAUCGCUGAACUGUCGAUAAACUUAGAUACAAAGAGCUCUAUACUCUCAAUGAGUAAGUAGCCCCAUGCACAUAUAUAUAUAGUAGAACUAUAUAAUAUAUAUGAUAAUAUAUAAUAUUUAUAUAUAUAUAUAUUCGAGCUGUUAUCGAGCCGAACAUGAGCGAGCUGACCUCAGCUCAGCUCGUGAUCGACUCGUUUAUUAAACGAGCUAAAAAAUUUAGCUCGCUCGUGUUCGAUUAACGAGCCGAACACAAGUCAAGCACGAGCUAACUCAUGAACAAUAAGUUAAAACAAUUACGAAGGACACGUAUAAAAAAUAAAUUUAUGAGAUAUUAUCCAUUUAACUUUGUUCUAAUAGUUAAAACUUUACAUAUAAAUGACAUUUUUGUAAGAGUUAGACUUUAUAUUUAGAUUAAACUAUAAAUUAAUUAUUUAUUUAUAUAUAAUAUAUAAAUAUAAAAUAUAUGUAUUUGAGCUGUUAUCGAGCCGAACACGAACGAGCUGAUCGCAGCUCGUAUUCGGCUCAUUUAUUAAACGAGUUGACAAAUUCAGCUCGUGUUCGACUCAUUUAUUACACAUGCGAUUCGAUCUCAAACUUAUUUCGAGCGAAACAUGAAUUGGUGCGUUAACAACGAACUAGAUUC
rnacentral:lncRNA from 1 species